GAUGAGAAAUCUCUCCAUCAAUCUGACAAGCCCUGACUUUUGAAGAUCAUAGAAAAUUGCUUUCUUCAUAUGAGAUUGACACGGAGACAAUUGUCAAUGACGAUGCUUGUAAUGCUGUUGAUGACGACCAAUCUAAAAGAAUCACUUAAUAUUGUAGGAAAGGACUUAAAUCAAAGAGAGUUCUGGACCGUGAUAUUCAGUGAGUAUAUAUGCUACUUGUAGGGAUCAUCGGCUGCAAAGUUUCCAAAUAAUUCUCCUCAUUCAUUCUGCAACUAAGGGAAUUUUGGACAACCGGGUGUAGAACGGAAGGAGAAGAGUUGGAAAGAAAGUGUACAGUGCGUGCUCUAUCUUUGUUUUGAAGGGGGUAUUUAUGUUGUACAGUUCUGGGUCUCAUCUUCUUUAUUCAAGUUUCGACUGCAUAAUCUUACUGUGAUGUUAUGCCUACUUUCU